AUAAAGUAUGUUCAACUCUGUGAGUUGAAUGCAAACAUCACAAAAUAGUUUCCGAGAAUGCUUCUGUCUAGUUUUUAUGUGAAGAUAUUUCCUUUUCCACCCUAGGCCUCAAAGCGCUCCAAAUGUACACUUGCUGAUUCUGCAAAAAGAGUGUUUCAAACCUGCUCUAUGAAAAGGAAGGUUCAACUCUGUGAGUUGAAUGCACACAUCACUAAGAAGUUUCUGAGAAUGCUUCUGUCUAGUGUUUAUGUGAUGAUAUUCCCGUUUCCAACGAUG
rnacentral:lncRNA from 1 species